GAUGAACGCUGGCGGCGUGCCUAAUACAUGCAAGUAGAACGCUGAAGCUUGGUGCUUGCACCGAGCGGAUGAGUUGCGAACGGGUGAGUAACGCGUAGGUAACCUGCCUCUUAGCGGGGGAUAACUAUUGGAAACGAUAGCUAAUACCGCAUAAAAGUCGAUAUCGCAUGAUAUUGAUUUGAAAGGUGCAAUUGCAUCACUAAGAGAUGGACCUGCGUUGUAUUAGCUAGUUGGUGAGGUAACGGCUCACCAAGGCGACGAUACAUAGCCGGCCUGAGAGGGUGAUCGGCCACACUGGGACUGAGACACGGCCCAGACUCCUACGGGAGGCAGCAGUAGGGAAUCUUCGGCAAUGGGGGCAACCCUGACCGAGCAACGCCGCGUGAGUGAAGAAGGUUUUCGGAUCGUAAAGCUCUGUUGUAAGAGAAGAACGAGUGUGAGAGUGGAAAGUUCACACUGUGACGGUAACUUACCAGAAAGGGACGGCUAACUACGUGCCAGCAGCCGCGGUAAUACGUAGGUCCCGAGCGUUAUCCGGAUUUAUUGGGCGUAAAGCGAGCGCAGGCGGUUAGAUAAGUCUGAAGUUAAAGGCUGUGGCUUAACCAUAGUACGCUUUGGAAACUGUUUAACUUGAGUGCAGAAGGGGAGAGUGGAAUUCCAUGUGUAGCGGUGAAAUGCGUAGAUAUAUGGAGGAACACCGGUGGCGAAAGCGGCUCUCUGGUCUGUAACUGACGCUGAGGCUCGAAAGCGUGGGGAGCAAACAGG
rnacentral:rRNA from 1 species